rnacentral:rRNA from 1 species
UACGGAGGGUGCAAGCGUUAUCCGGAUUCACUGGGUUUAAAGGGUGCGUAGGCGGGCAGGUAAGUCCGUGGUGAAAUCUCUGAGCUUAACUCAGAAACUGCCAUGGAUACUAUUUGUCUUGAAUGUUGUGGAGGUAAGGCGGGAUAUGUCAUGUAGCGGUGAAAAUGCUUAGAUAUGACAUAGAACACCAUGCGAAGGCAGCUUACUACACAAAUAUUGACGCUGAGGCACGAAAGCGUGGGGAUCAAACAGG